GUGGGGAAUCUUGCGCAAUGGGCGAAAGCCUGACGCAGCCAUGCCGCGUGAAUGAUGAAGGUCUUAGGAUUGUAAAAUUCUUUCACCGGGGACGAUAAAGACGGUACCCGGAGAAGAAGCCCCGGCUAACUUCGUGCCAGCAGCCGCGGUAAUACGAAGGGGGCUAGCGUUGCUCGGAAUUACUGGGCGUAAAGGGCGCGUAGGCGGACAGUUUAGUCAGAGGUGAAAGCCCAGGGCUCAACCUUGGAAUUGCCUUUGAUACUGGCUGUCUUGAGUACGGGAGAGGUGAGUGGAACUCCGAGUGUAGAGGUGAAAUUCGUAGAUAUUCGGAAGAACACCAGUGGCGAAGGCGACUCACUGGCCCGUUACUGACGCUGAGGCGCGAAAGCGUGGGGAGCAAACAGGAUUAGAAACCCCGGUAGUCC
rnacentral:rRNA from 1 species